GACGAACGCUGGCGGCGUGCCUAACACAUGCAAGUCGAACGGAAAGGCGCUGCUUUUGUGGGGUGCUCGAGUGGCGAACGGGGGAGUAACACGUGAGUAACCUGCACUUGACUUUGGGAUAACUUCAGGAAACUGGGGCUAAUACCGGAUAGGAUCUCCUGCUGCAUGGGGGGCGUUGGAAAGUUUCGGCGGUUCGGGCUGGACUCGCGGGUUAUCCGCUUGUUGGGCGGGUAGUGGCUUACCAAGCCUGCGAGGGGUAGCCGGCCUGAGAGGGUGACCGGGCACAAUGGGACUGAGAUACGGCGCAGACUCCUACGGGAGGCAGCAGUGGGGAAUAUGGCGCAAUGGGCGGACGCCUGAUGCAGCAACGCCGCGUGCGGGAUGACGUCCUUCGGGUUGUAAACCGCUUUCGCCUGAGACGAAGCGUGAGUGACGGUAAUGGGUAAAGAAGCACCGGCUAACUACGUG
rnacentral:rRNA from 1 species